GAUGAACGCUGGCGGCGUGCUUAACACAUGCAAGUCGAACGAUGAAGCCCAGCUUGCUGGGUGGAUUAGUGGCGAACGGGUGAGUAACACGUGAGUAACCUGCCCUUAACUCUGGGAUAAGCCUGGGAAACUGGGUCUAAUACCGGAUAGGAGCGCCUACCGCAUGGUGGGUGUUGGAAAGAUUUAUCGGUUUUGGAUGGACUCGCGGCCUAUCAGCUUGUUGGUGAGGUAAUGGCUCACCAAGGCGACGACGGGUAGCCGGCCUGAGAGGGUGACCGCCCACACUGGGACUGAGACACGGCCCAGACUCCUACGGGAGGCAGCAGUGGGGAAUAUUGCACAAUGGGCGAAAGCCUGAUGCAGCGACGCCGCGUGAGGGAUGACGGCCUUCGGGUUGUAAACCUCUUUCAGUAGGGAAGAAGCGAAAGUGACGGUACCUGCAGAAGAAGCACCGGCUAACUACGUG
rnacentral:rRNA from 1 species